rnacentral:rRNA from 1 species
GUUAGUGGCGAAAGGGUGAGGAAUAGAUAGGAAGGUACCCUGUGCUCUGGGAUAGCGUCUGAGGCUUCGGCUUCUUCCGAAAGGGGCGGUAAUACCAGAUAAUGUCCUUCGGGACCAAAGAUUUAUCGCGCAUUGGAGCGGCCUAUCUCCUAUCAGCUAGUUGGUGAGGUAACGGCUCACCAAGUGCAACGACGGGUAGCGGGACUGAGAUGUUGGCCCGCCACAUCGGGACUGAGACACUGCCCGGACCUCCACGGAGGGCUGCAGUAACGGAUAUUGGGCAAUGGGUGAAAGCCUGACCCAGCAAUGCCGCGUGCAGGAUGAAGCCCCUAGGGGUGUAAACUGCUGUCAGGGGUCAGAAAGCUGGUUUCGGCCAGUUGAUCAACCCCAGAGGAAGUCACGGCUAACUUCGUGCCAGCAGCCGCGGUAAUACGAAGGUGGCAAGCGUUAUUCGGAAUCAUUGGGCUUAAAGGGCACGCAGGCGGAACAGUGUGUGUUGUGUGAAAUCCCCCGGCUUAACCGGGGAAUUGCACAGCAAACUGCUGUUCUUGAGGCAGGUAGGGGUGCAUGGAACUCUUGGUGGAGCGGUGGAAUGCGUAGAUAUCAAGAGGAACGCCAGAGGUGAAGACGGUGCACUGGGCCUGUCCUGACGCUGAGGUGCGAAAGCGUGGGGAGCGAACGGGAUUAGAUACCCCGGUAGUCCACGCCGUAAACGAUGUCUAGUAGGUCGUGGGUGUUCUGACACAUUCACGGCCGGAGCAAAAGUGUUUAGUAGACCGCCUGGGGAGUACGGCCGCAAGGUUAAAACUCAAAUGAAUUGACGGGGGCUCACACAAGCGGUGGAGCAUGUGGAUUAAUUCGAAGCAACGCGCAGAACCUUACCUGGGUUUGACAUGCUUGUAUGCCUUCUCUGAAAGGAGUUAGGCUGCCUUCGGGUGAAACUUGCACAGGUGCUGCAUGGCUGUCGUCAGCUCGUGUCGUGAGAUGUCGGGUUAAGUCCUUUAACGAGCGAAACCCUUGCCGUUAGUUGCCAGCGAGUAAUGUCGGGGACUCUAACGGGACUGCCGGUGUUAAACCGGAGGAAGGUGGGGAUGACGUCAAGUCCUCAUGGCCUUUAUGCCCAGGGCUUCACACGUGCUACAAUGGCAAUUACAGAGCGACGCGAUACCGCGAGGUGGAGCAAAUCGCAAAAAAAUUGCCUCAGUUCGGAUUGCAGGCUGGCAAUUCGCCUGCAUGAAGUCGGAAUCGCUAGUAAUCGCGUAUCAGCAAUGACGCGGUGAAUGUGUUCCUGAGCAUUGUACACACCGCCCGUCAAGUCGAUGGAAGCCGGGAGUACC